rnacentral:tRNA from 2 species
GCGCCCGUAGCUCAGCUGGAUAGAGCGCUUGCCUCCGGAGCAAGAGGUCGCAGGUUCGAAUCCUGCCGGGCGUACCA